rnacentral:lncRNA from 1 species
GCCACACACACUACUGAGCCUCAUUUUGACUUGUUUUAAGGACAUUACAUCAAAGUUGUAUCAGCCUGUAGUGUGGUUUUCCACUUUAAUUUUGAGUGUGACUCCAAAUCCAGACCUCCAUGGGUUGAUAAAUUGGAUUUCCAUUGAUUAUUUUUGUGUGAUUUUGUUGUCAGCACAUUCAACUAUGUAAAGAAAAAAGUAUUUAAUAAGAUUAUUUCUUUCAUUCAGAUCUAGGAUGUGUUGUUUAAGUGUUCCCUUUAUUUUUUUGAGCAGUAUAUUUUGUUUAAUGUUUUUCUUCCUUUUGUUUAGUCUGCUGUUGUUUAGUUAGAUUAUUGAUUGUUUGUUAGUUUCUACAAUUGUAAAGCUAUGUAUGUUUCAUGUAUAAUUACUGUUAUUAUUAAAGUAGAGGAGUUAGUUCAGGCAAGCAACAUUUCAACACAUUCUUUUCACAUAUCCUGUGUAUAAGUUUAUUUAUAAACUGGGUGGUUCCAGCCCUGAAUGCUGAUUGUCUGAAUGCCUUGGUAUAUCAGACCCUAUGACAAAACAUUUAUUUUUACUGCUCUAAUUACAUUGGUAGCCAGUUUAUAAUAGCAAUAAGGCACCUCGGGGGUUUGUGGUAUAUGGCCAAUAUACCACGGUUAAGGGCUGUGUCCAGGCACUCUGCGUUGCGUCAUGCAUAAGAACAGCCCUUAGCCGUGGUAUAUUGCCAUAUACCACACCUCCUCGGGCCUUAUUGCUUAAAUAUACAUGCUCACCUCUGCCAAUUGGAAACUGUUGUCCACUUGUCUGUCCCAUUUCCUUAAUAUGUUCUAUAUCGCAGUGGCAAUCAACACCCAUACCCCCACACUAUAACCUUCCAACCCUCCUCCUGUUGCUGCCCAAGAACUGUCUGAUACAGUUGCCCCCCAGGAGACCAGCUACACCCCCAUCCUCAACCAGGUUGAACCCCCGAUAUCCCCCACCACCCAGGAGACCAGCUACACCCCCAUCCUCAACCAGGUUGAACCCCCGAUAUCCCCCACCACCCAGGAGACCAGCUACACCCACACCAAACCAAAGAAGACAGAGAGAAAGUCCUGUCGCCCUCAAAAAACCCUCCAACUCGCUGAGCAUGACAGUUCACCCCAUCCAAUCCCAUUCAACCCCAUCCAACCCCAUCCAACCGUAUCCUACCCCAUUCUACCCCAUCCAACCGUUUCCAACCCCAUCAAACCCCAUUCUACCCCAUCCAAGCCCGACCAAGGAAGAGGAAAUAUGACUACAUGCAAAAAGAGUGUCCAGUGCAUCCGGGGCAAAUGAUUUUCCCUAUUCUCAAGAUUUUUGCCAAUAGAACUUCAAAGGGGUGGCAAGAAAUGGGACGAUGACUGGAUCAAGGCCGAGGACCGCGUUUCUCCAGUUUAACCUACUUUAUGCACGAAUGUAUUCCUCACUCUCCCUUCACAUGUAUCACUGUCAAUCAUAAAUGGUUGGCCAAAUUCACCAUGAUUUACCAUUGAAACAUUCAUGGAGCGUCAGCAUGCCAACCAUUUCAUCUCAAUCAGUUUCAUGAGAAUAUGCAUUUAGAUAUUCUUCAUAUAAAGUGAGCUACAAACAUAUUGCAACAGUGACACAUUUUUUGUUGUUUUGGAUCUGUACUCCAGAACGUUGUAUUUUAAAUUAUACAAUGACUAUGAGGUUAAAGUGCAGACUAUCAGCUUUAAUUUGAGUGUAUUUUCAUCCAUAUCUGGUGAACCGUUUAGAAAUUACAGCACAUUGUGUACAUAUCCACCCCGUUUUGGGGGACCAAAAGUCUUGUGAUAAAUUCACUUAUGUGUAUUACAGUAGUCAGAAGUUUAGUAUUUUUGUCUUUUAUGUUUGUAUUGAUUCAUUUUACUAUGUUAUUAAAUAUAUAUGUUU